rnacentral:rRNA from 1 species
CCUACGGGAGGCAGCAGUGAGGAAUAUUGGUCAAUGGGCGCGAGCCUGAACCAGCCAAGUAGCGUGAAGGAUGACUGCCCUACGGAUUGUAAACUUCUUUUAUAAAGGAAUAAGGUGCGGCACGUGUGCCUUUUUGUAUGUAAUUUAUGAAUAAGGAUCGGCUAACUCCGUGCCCGCAGCCGCCGUAAUACGGAGGAUCCGAGCGUUAUCCGGAAUUAUUGGGGUUAAAGGGAGCGUAGAUGGGUUGGUAAGUCAGUUGUGAAAGUUUGGGGGUCAACCGUAAAAUUGCAAUUGAUACUGGCAGCCUUGAGUACAGGUGAGGUAGGCGGAAUGCGUGGUGUAGCGGUGAAAUGCUUAGAUAUCACGAAGAACUCCGAUUGCGAAGGCAGCCUACUAAACUGCCACUGACAUUGAGGCUCGAAAGUGUGGGUAUCAAACAGGAUUAGAUACCCGAGUAGUC